rnacentral:rRNA from 1 species
GACGAACGCUGGCGGCGUGCUUAACACAUGCAAGUCGAACGGAAAGGCCCUGCUUUUGUGGGGUGCUCGAGUGGCGAACGGGUGAGUAACACGUGAGUAACCUGCCCUUGACUUUGGGAUAACUUCAGGAAACUGGGGCUAAUACCGGAUAGGAGCUCCUGCUGCAUGGUGGGGGUUGGAAAGUUUCGGCGGUUGGGGAUGGACUCGCGGCUUAUCAGCUUGUUGGUGGGGUAGUGGCUUACCAAGGCUUUGACGGGUAGCCGGCCUGAGAGGGUGACCGGCCACAUGGGGACUGAGAUACGGCCCAGACUCCUACGGGAGGCAGCAGGGGGGAAUAUUGCACAAUGGGCGGAAGCCUGAUGCAGCAACGCCGCGUGCGGGAUGACGGCCUUCGGGUUGUAAACCGCUUUCGCCUGCGACGAAGCGUGAGUGACGGUAAUGGGUAAAGAAGCACCGGCUAACUACGUG